rnacentral:misc_RNA from 1 species
AAUCCUCAAAACCCUUCCUUUCGGAAGGAUUUUGGACUUGGAGGCCUUUUGCUGGUUUCACCUUGAAGCAAGCUCCUCCCAAAUGUAUUAGUGGGGUCUGCAUUGUCGGUCCUCGGCGUGAUAAGUUGUUUCUACGUCUUGGAUUUUUGGCGCUGUACGCCCGCUUCUAACUGUCUCAUUGACAACGAUGGUGUUCCGGUCGCCGCCGAUUUUUCGGUGGGAGGCUUGACCCACGAAACAAA